CCUACGGGUGGCAGCAGUGAGGAAUAUUGGUCAAUGGCCGGAAGGCUGAACCAGCCAAGCCGCGUGAGGGAGGAAGGCGCAGAGCGUCGCAGACCUCUUUUGCCGGGGGACAAAAGGCCGGACGGGUCCGGGUCUGAGGGUAACCGGCGAAAAAGCAUCGGCUAACUCCGUGCCAGCAGCCGCGGUAAUCCGGAGGAUGCGAGCGUUAACCGGGUUCAUUGGGUUUAAAGGGUGCGCGGGCGGGCCUUUAAGCCGGCGGGGACAUCGCGGGGCUCAACCCCGACGAGCCGUCGGAACUGGGGGCCUUGAGUGCGGCGGAGGCAUGCGGAAUGCGCGGUGUAGCGGUGAAAUGCAUAGAUAUCGCGCAGAACCCCGAUUGCGAAGGCAGCGUGCCGUGCCGCCACUGACGCUGAGGCACGAAAGCGCGGGGAUCGAACAGGAUUAGAUACCCGGGUAGUC
rnacentral:rRNA from 1 species